GACGAACGCUGGCGGCGUGCUUAACACAUGCAAGUCGAACGGAAAGGCCCUGCUUUUGUGGGGUGCUCGAGUGGCGAACGGGUGAGUAACACGUGAGUAACCUGCCCUUGACUUUGGGAUAACUUCAGGAAACUGGGGCUAAUACCGGAUAGGAGCUCCUGCUGCAUGGUGGGGGUUGGAAAGUUUCGGCGGUUGGGGAUGGACUCGCGGCUUAUCAGCUUGUUGGUGGGGUAGUGGCUUACCAAGGCUUUGACGGGUAGCCGGCCUGAGAGGGUGACCGGCCCCAUGGGGACUGAGUGCCGCCCCGCCCCCCUGCGGGGGGCAGUGGGGGGAAUUUUGCCACAGGGGGCGGAGCCUGGAGCACGCACGCCCGCGGGGGGGAGGACGCCUUUGGGUUUUAAACCCGUUUCCGCCUGUGAAGAAGGGGGAGUCCGGGUAGGGGAAAAAAAACCCCCGCCUACCCCCGUC
rnacentral:rRNA from 1 species